rnacentral:rRNA from 1 species
AGAGUUUGAUCAUGGCUCAGGAUGAACGCUGGCGGCGUGCCUAACACAUGCAAGUCGAGCGAUUCUCUUCGGAGAAGAGCGGCGGACGGGUGAGUAACGCGUGGGUAACCUGCCCUGUACACACGGAUAACAUACCGAAAGGUAUGCUAAUACGAGAUAAUAUGCUUUUAUCGCAUGGUAGAAGUAUCAAAGCUCCGGCGGUACAGGAUGGACCCGCGUCUGAUUAGCUAGUUGGUGAGGUAACGGCUCACCAAGGCGACGAUCAGUAGCCGACCUGAGAGGGUGAUCGGCCACAUUGGAACUGAGACACGGUCCAAACUCCUACGGGAGGCAGCAGUGGGGAAUAUUGCACAAUGGGCGAAAGCCUGAUGCAGCAACGCCGCGUGAGCGAUGAAGGCCUUCGGGUCGUAAAGCUCUGUCCUCAAGGAAGAUAAUGACGGUACUUGAGGAGGAAGCCCCGGCUAACUACGUGCCAGCAGCCGCGGUAAUACGUAGGGGGCUAGCGUUAUCCGGAAUUACUGGGCGUAAAGGGUGCGUAGGUGGUUUCUUAAGUCAGAGGUGAAAGGCUACGGCUCAACCGUAGUAAGCCUUUGAAACUGGGAAACUUGAGUGCAGGAGAGGAGAGUGGAAUUCCUAGUGUAGCGGUGAAAUGCGUAGAUAUUAGGAGGAACACCAGUUGCGAAGGCGGCUCUCUGGACUGUAACUGACACUGAGGCACGAAAGCGUGGGGAGCAAACAGGAUUAGAUACCCUGGUAGUCCACGCCGUAAACGAUGAGUACUAGCUGUCGGAGGUUACCCCCUUCGGUGGCGCAGCUAACGCAUUAAGUACUCCGCCUGGGAAGUACGCUCGCAAGAGUGAAACUCAAAUGAAUUGACGG